GGACCAUCAGGGGCUCUUGCCUCUUCUUCUUCUGCUUCUGUUCAAGGAGUGCUCGCUGACAUUUCAAGCAAAUGGAAAGAUAAAGAAACCUGCACACACAGACCAGUACCUACGCUUGGACUCCCACAGUUCCCAACUGGAGAGGCACAGGGAACAAAGGAGCACACACGUCUGAAGAAAGCACUUAAAACCUGUGGCUAUUCCAUCUGGGCCUUCAUUAAGUCAAAGAACAUCAAGCCAAAGAGAUUUAUGGAAAAACAACACAACAACAUCAAAAAAAAGAAGAAAAAAGCAGGCAUAACAACAUUAUCAUUCUGCUUGUGGCUACAGUGUUUGAGAAACUUAAAAGGCUUUUCUCCCAACUGAAGUUCCUGAGACACACGCCUAGAGGAUAAAACACUUAAACACAACCUGAGCAACUUUAUAUAUGCAGCCUAAUGCGGCAAAGGGUGCACAGAAAUAUAUACAGUGAACACCUGCAUCAAAAGGAUUGGGGGCACUCUACUGAGAGCAGCAAUGUACACAAUUUGGACAGCCAUGGUUUGAGAGAGGAGAGGAAAAAAGCCACCUGUGUUAAAGUGGAAAUACCAUCUCUAAACAGGGAAUGUGAUUUACAACAACGCCUGUCAGCAAAUUACGAAACAGUCCUGGCAACGCUCCAAACACACGGUUUUGCCUUCAUUCACACAGUUAUUUGUGAUUAAUUUUGUGUGAACGAUAACUCGCUGGUAGCCUUAAAUGAAUACCUGGAGCUGCACACCAGCUGCAGGCACUGAGGAAGCCUCUAGCAUGAGAGGCGAAAGGCAAGGACCAAAAACAAGUCCAGAAAUCUUCUCCUUCCCUGGAUAAAUGAGAUUCUAGACAAGCCUCUACACGAUGUUUCAAUCAAUAACAAUUUGUUUAAUGAUGCUUACGUGCCUGAAGCCCUCAACUGAGUGACAUUAAGAAUUGUAUUCUUUAUUCAUUCAUUCAUUCAUUUAGUCACGCAUGAAUAAAAAGCAGUUUACUUCAGAGUGAAUCAGACCACAUAAAACCUUAUACCCACUGAUGAACUAUGACAAGCUUCCGCAAGCUUUUGCUGCUCUGACAACGGAACGAGAACCCGUUUGAAACACUCCACUUACAUUAUCCACUUCAGGAAAAUAGCAGGACGUCAGAAGCAGCAGACUGCACUACGCAUAG